GUCAGAGGUGGCCGCUCCUGUCUCCCAGAGGCUGAGGGCUCUGUCCACCAUUGCCAGCCUGCCCGCAGGGCCAGGGACCACCACGGAGACCCCACCCAAAGCCUGGGCCAGAGGGAGCAUCGGAGGCUGGUCCACCCAUGAGGGGCCCCGUUUCAGGCCUUGCUGAGAGGCAUCAGCCGGACAGAAAGAGGGCUGCCCAGGGCACAGGACUCUCCCAAGCCAGUGGCUGCGAGCAAGGGACAGAAACAGACCACACACCCUUGGCCAUGCCACCCGAGCCAGCCCUGAAGCCCCCUACUGCAGAGGUACGGCUCCUGGGCUGGGAGGAACAGGUGAGCCAUCGACGGGGACUGUGGACGGGGGGAGCCCCAGGCAAGACACUGU
rnacentral:lncRNA from 1 species